GCUAGUGACUAUAUAACAUCCAGCUGAAGACUAGCAGGGGGGUACUCUUUCUGCUCCCUUCUGAUGCCUAUGUCAGAAGCUUUCUCUGUCUCCUUUAUACUUUAAUAAAACUUCAUUAUACAAAGCUCCGAGCGAUCAAGCUCAUCUCUGGCCCCAGAUUGAAUUCUUUUCCAGAGGCCAAGAAUUGUGGCCGUCUUUUCAUUCAGCAACAACUUUUCACCACUAUAUAGACAGAGGUGUUACAAAGCCUGGAAACAUGGAAAUAUCUGUUAGUAUUACUGAAGACUAAUCUAAGCCUUAAUAUGGUGCUUGAAUUUGCUUUUUUAAUUUUCUUUAUAGAUGAGUGUACAAAGAGCUGAGCUCAAGGAAAAUGUUAGGCACAAGCAAGAUUUGAAUGCACCUUACACUUGAUCCAUCGUGGGAAGAGAGGGUAUUUAACCAAGGAGGGGAAAUAAGAUCUUGGCCUUCAUUUCAGGCUGAGGAUGGGGCAGGAUGAUGGUACAGAGGGAUAGGGCAUUGUCCCAGCUGGGGUCUUCAUGAAGCUCAAGCCGCAAGGCAGAAUUUGAAGCAGUAAUAUCUAAGAGCAGCGGAGGUGUCGUGGCUGGGCUGUAGAGGUGCCCAAAAGGCCAUCACACCUUCCCAACCUCCCGGCGAGAACCUGUUGGGUGAAGUCUGAAUCGUUGCAGGUGCUCAGGUGCUGGGGGAAGAGGAGUAGUUGGGGAUCAAAGUCGAAGAUGAAUUUCCCAGAGGGUGAUCAGCUUGGGCUAUAUAAAUAAUACAUCAGUGUUCAAAAGGACUGGUGGUGAUGUUGAUCUUGGCAAAAACUUCAACCCUUUUUAAAAAGUACUGCUUACACUACAGAUGGCAUCAGUUCAGUUCAGUCGCUCAGUCGUGUCUGACUCUCUGCGACCCCAUGAAUUGCAGCACGCCAGGCCUCACACCUAAAUUAAUGCUUUAUCACGUGUAAGAUACUUUAGCUUUUUAUCCAAAACCUACAAGGCCGAGUCACAGUCAGCUGAUUAGAAUUGCAUUGCAACCUGGGUUUUGUUUGAAAAGACUUAGAAAUGAGGGAGGUGGGUUACCCUGAGUUUUUUAAGACCUGCACUAAAAUGGACAAUUUUCUAAGCUCUCUCCUAGUUUGUAUGAAGCGUACCUUCCUUAAGAGUGUUGACUUAUGUUCAGUGACUACCUUCACCACAUACAUUCCUAAUUUGUUUUCAGUGGCACAUUGGCUUUGGGAAGGGAGUGAACAGGAGAAGAAACCGAAGUGUUUUUGUAGGUAGAAGCUGAGCCUCAAAUUUACUGUUAAGGAGCUAAACUGGGUUGUGAAACAAAGACUGGUGGUUAUUCCAUGGCUCUGCCAACCUGGAAGAUUCUGUUAACCUUGCGUUUUCUGAUGAAAAAGGGUACAUCUUAGUGGGAUUUUACGGUGCUAUAAGGACAGAAUGGAAGGGCAUUUUCUUAAAAAUAUUGCUUAUUUUUUAAGAAAUAUUCAGAAAAUGUACAGUAAGACCACAUUUUGUAAAAAUUAAAGGAAUAUAAGGGCACAUCCCUGCAGAAGAUCAAGGUUUUAAUGGUUGUUUCUGGAAAGGUGGGUGUUUUGCUGCUUUUGCUUUUUUUUUUUUUUUUUGCUUUAAUGUGCAUGGCAUUUUUAGUAAAAAAAAAUUCUUGAAGAAAUGAAAGAAUGGUGCAAGAUAUUCUUAGGGUUAAUUUUAAGUAGCAUUAAUAUAAAGCUUUAACAAUUUUUUAUGUUUUGCGAACACGUGGUUUGUCUAAUAAAAAUAGCAUUUGGAUGCAUCAGGACAGGUUUAAAAGACUGAAUUCAGACCUGGCCAGCAGAGGGCGGUAAGAAGCCAGUGUCAGAGCGAUCUAUCCGUGUGAAGACAAGCAUAGACUAUACUGCAAACUCCCGGUAGAAAAAGAUUCUCCCACCCCCUGGAAAAUUGUUGGGCUUUAGUGUACUAUUUCUGGUUGCGCUUGCUUUUUUGUCGUGAUUUUGCAGAAUCCACACUCCCUAGCUGGGGAAGUCAAUAGUGGUGACUGACUACAACUAAGAAAUUGAAACUCCACAUGUUCCUAGAGGAAGAGGUUUUGCUCUGUGAUAGUCGAUUGUGUAUUCUUAUUAAGCCUCUUUCUCUGCCACUAUACCAAGAAUUUAUCUGAUGCCAUCUGAAAGCCAAAAGGUGUCAGAGCAGGCCUAUUCUGAAAAAUGGGCAUAAUUUCAAAAGCAGCAAAGCCACAGCUGUACUCUGGAUUAUAACCCACUGUAUAGCUCCAUGGAAGCACUGACUAUGUUCUGAGCUGUAUCUCUGGUGCCUAGAAUAGUGCGUGGUGUGGUAGGCAUUCAAAUAUUUUCUGUCGGAUGAGUAGAUAUGAACUGCCAAUUUAUGUUUAGUUAAUUUGAGAGUUCUCUAGAGUCAUAGGCUUAAAUUCCUCAACCAUUUUUGACACUUUAAUUUCUUCUUCUUUUUUUUUUUCUGGCAACAGGAUGACUCCAAGUUGGGCCCCUUCUAGACUAGGAUGGUGCCAAAUUGUCUGAACUUCCCCUGUCUCCAACUCUCCUCUAGGGAGCAGGGCAGAGAAACAUAUCCUAUCACAAUAUGGGGUACAUGGCUCUAAGAGUCUGAAAAAAUAAUUUUAAAAGCUAUUAUGAGACCCGGGAACAGUAAAAAGCACAUGAGUUCAGGGAAACUUUUUACACUGCAGUAAUUUCUUUUUGAAGCCUAUUUAUUGAGACACAUUCCAACAGUACAGUAUUGUACAACUGAUGUGAAUUAAACCUUACACAAAUGUAGUAUUUGUCUUUAUUUUUUCUUCUCUCAACUGCCCCCAACUAAAAUUUACAAACAGAUGUAAAAAUCCCAUUUGAACCUGGUUGGCUUGUUAGAGAAAUAUGGGGUCAAAGGCUUGUGACAUUUUGUAGGGCUGACACCAGGUUAAAAGGAGCAAAAUGCACAUAAAAAAAUAAAUAUGAGAUCCAUAAGGGGAAAAUAAAGUAUUAACAUACAAAAUGCUGCAAAUUAAAAAUCCUGUCUUCUCUUUUAGAUUUGAUGCUUGGAUAUACUUUAGCGAGUUCCAGGGGUCAGCAGAUGUGUGGCUAAAUGGGUGUGUGUUGUGUCUUGCUGGGAGGUACCUACCCACAUGUGGAUCAUAAAGUGAUACAGUUAUGCCAUUAUUUUAGUAGGGAGUAUACAUGUAUAAUUUUAAAUAAGAAAUAAAACCUUUUCCAUCUCCAUCCACAAGCUGCAUUUUGAAAUAAAAUAAUCCAGUUCAAAAUUUGAUUCCAGAUUUCUGUCAUGUAAAGAGUCUAGAAAUUUUAUUUUCAAGAAAAUACGAAAAUGAUAAUGCGGAUGAUGUUAACGUGCAGAAGCAAAGUUCAAAGCCCUAUGUGGAGAGGAAACUGUGAGUUUUUUUUAGAUUUUUAAAUAACUGGUCAAGGCAUAACACUUGUUAUUACCUUUAUUAUUGCCUGCCUAGUGUUGCUGUGUAAAGUGAGGCUCAUUCAAAGGGUCCCAGGUUGCAUUGCUGCCCUGUGGAGUCUUGCUAAUAGACUACAGGGCGGAUGGAGGUUUAGCUAACAUUCAGUUACAGUUUGAAACUAUCCUUUGGGUGGUAGUAAAAAUAAGACAGGUUAAGAAAUGAGCUUCUCUUCAAAGAAAUUUCUGUGUUUUGGUAAAUCUUCUGAGGACCUUUCUCCUAUCAGGCUAGUAGAACAGUGGACAACAACAGUGUCUUUAAUGAAGCAGUAACCUGCCUGUUGGAUGACUCUCAGGACUCUCCAUUUUCAGGCCACCAGCAGUGAUGUAGGACAAUGGAGCCUCCUGAAUUAGGGACUUAACAACAGAAUCCUUGCUGGGCCCUUAAUACACAGGUGAGCUAGCAGAUUCAAGGAAAGACGAGGGGAGCCAUUUGUCCAGAAAUGAGUGAUGUGAAGAAAACCUGUCUGAAGGUGAAAUCAUGAGAGAGUAUUUUACAAAAGAUUACAGCUAGUUCUUUGCCUUGCCAUCAAAUAAAGUAAAAAAUUAAUGUAAUUUUUGGAAGGAGUUAUAAAUAAAGGAAUAUUGCUAUCUAUAAUUGGUUGUUAGGGGAAUUGGACUUUUAAAAAAUAAUCCAGGAUUAGGUAUCCAUUCCAUAGUGUUGACAGAAUGUUGCUAAUAUUUGCAGAGAAGAACCUGCUUUUUAAAGAUCUCUUUAAGAUGAAUGAGCCUAAGACAUGGAUUCUCAUGCUAGACUAAUGUGCAGUUCCUGUCCACAAAUAUCUGGAGAGACAAUUGCAUUAACAUGCCAGUUAUUGAUUUGUAGUGAUAACAAGAGCAGAAGAAAAACUAUUUUUUUUGAGAUAGGGAAUUCUAGUGGAUAUGUUUUCAGAUUCUGAAAAUUAGAGACAAAAAUAACCUUUUGAAAAGUGCCUGUAUUUUCUUGUAUUUGUGCUUUGGUUAAAUUCCAGUGUAAUUUCUGUUGUUGUUAGCUUUUGUCUUCCACUUCCUUGUUUCCCUUUGAGUGUUUCUAAAUUUGGAUUCAUUGGAGAGAAAUAGAAUGCCUUAGCCAAUAUUACAGUUUACCAUACAUGAUUGUUAUUUUUAAUAUUUUUAAAUGUUCUAUUUGUGUUUACAUUGUACAAAAUAGAUCAUUAAAAUUUAGGUAAUAUGAAAACCAUAUUCAAAAACAUCAGAGCUAUCAAUUUAAUGUUUAGAUAAAGACUUCAAAACUUCUCAGGAAUAGCUUCUAUCUAAAACAUACCAAAUUUAAAAUUAUUAUAGCGUUGCCAUCUUGAAUAAAAUUGGUUUUUAUUUACUGAAUGAAAAACACUUAAUAAACGAGACAACAAUCUCUAGUUCUCCACUUUGCAUUCCUUUCGAGGGUCAUUUCAGGACAUUCUGUGCAGUGACCAGAAGAGGGCAGCAUGACCUCAGCUGUGGGAAAAGCUGCGCAAACCAGUGCUUUCUGAACUGAGAAGGCUGGAAGCUGACGAAGAGCAGACUUACAGCAGCAGGUGCUGCAGUGUGUCUAUCAAGCAGGAUACACAGGAAACAAAUUUGAAAUAAAACUGUUUAAUGCCUCUGAA